rnacentral:rRNA from 1 species
GAUGAACGCUGGCGGCGUGCCUAAUACAUGCAAGUCGAGCGAACAGAUGAGGAGCUUGCUCCUCUGACGUUAGCGGCGGACGGGUGAGUAACCCGUGGAUAACCUACCUAUAAGACUGGGAUAACUUCGGGAAACCGGAGCUAAUACGGGAUAAUAUAUUGAACCGCAUGGUUCAAUAGUGAAAGACGGUUUUGCUGUCACUUAUAGAUGGAUCCGCGCCGCAUUAGAUAGUUGGUAAGGUAACGGCUUACCAAGGCAACGAUGCGUAGCCGACCUGAGAGGGUGAUCGGCCACACUGGAACUGAGACACGGUCCAGACUCCUACGGGAGGCAGCAGUAGGGAAUCUUCCGCAAUGGGCGAAAGCCUGACGGAGCAACGCCGCGGGAGUGAUGAAGGUCUUCGGAUCGUAAAACUAUGUUAUUAGGGAAGAACAAAUGUGUAAGUAACUAUGCACGUCAUGACGGUACCUAAUCAGAAAGCCACGGCUAACUACGUG